ACGCUCGACACCUACGGGAGGCAGCAGGUGGGGAAUAUUGCACAAUGGGGGAAACCCUGAUGCAGCGACGCCGCGUGGAGGAAGAAGGUCUUCGGAUUGUAAACUCCUGUUGUUAGGGGAAAAAGAGGAUGGUACCCAAACAAGGAAGUGACGGCUAACUACGUGCUAGCAGCCGCGGUAAUCUGGAGCGGGCUGGCAAGGC
rnacentral:rRNA from 1 species